GGCUAUGAACCUUUUCUUCUGGGAAGUAGGGGAGCCAUCAGUGAGAUACCACUCUUGGUAAGCUAGAGCGCUCAGUCUUCACCGUCAUCCGGUAAGACGACAGUUUCAGGCGGGCAGUUUGACUGGGGCAGUCACCUCCCAAAAGGUAAUGGAGGUGUGCAAAGGUUCCCUCAGGCUGGACGGAAAUCAGCCAUAGAGUGUAAAAGCAUAAGGGAGCUUGACUGCGAGACUGACAUGUCAAGCAGAGACGAAAGUCGGCUUUAGUGAUCCGACGGUGCUGUGUGGAAAGGCCGUCGCUCAACGGAUAAAAGUUACUCUAGGGAUAACA
rnacentral:rRNA from 1 species